CAAACGGCCCUUUUCAGGGCCACAAACUUCCGGCUUUCGGGGGUCU
rfam:Ixodes scapularis strain Wikel colony gcontig_1108379470887, whole genome shotgun sequence.